AAGAGGGGUGAUGAACUGUUUUGUGGGCAUUCAUGUACGUUUAGUUUCAUUAUCAUCUGAGGUGUGAACUUGCUUCAACAGUCAAUUUGCCUUCCUGCUACAAAAUUUCUCUGCAGCGGUGGUUGUAUUAGAAACAUCUCCUUCCAAAGAGUAAAUGUUUUCACACCAAAUAUUUAUGGUUUGUUGGAUAAGUGAUGCAAUGAGUAGCACUGUAGUCUUUGAUGGAGAUUUAUACUGAAAGACACUUGGUGUACUCUAAAUAUUUUUGUUUACCUCCAAGAUUGUUGGCUUGUCGCCCUCAAACUAAAAAGUGAAUAAUUAUUCCUCUCUGUCCAGGAUGAUGGUCUACUGCCAAAGGAGUUGGCAAGAUAACUGCACAUUUAACACCCGCACUGUCCGAACAAGUUCUAUCAACAAUUUUGUAGCAUUUUUCUCCAGGUGAUGGUUCUAGGCAUAGAGGCAUCUUGGCUUUGACUGAACUUGCUCAGAGGGGGUUGCUCCUCCCGUUAUAACUAAGGGGAAAUAUCGCCAUUAAUUUACGAGCUAGAAGGAGUUCACAGAAUUUUGUCAACAUCAUUGAUGAAGAUAUAAUUUUUCAUAUUUGUUUUUAGACAAGAAAGAACCAUAGAGAAUCUUAACCCUUGUACUUUAGCAGUACCUAGAGUAAAACCCCUCAAAUUUAACAGAAGAUGGAAAUGAAUGGUUGUUUUUGUUGCACGUUACUCCAAGAAGAAGUGCAUCAUCAAACUAGAUGUUGUAUAUUAUCCGUCCAUAAUAUGGUUGCUUGUGUAUCCUGCGACUUGGUUCAUCCAGGAGAUGUAUGUGUGCAUGCUUGCACGGCAGAGCACAAAACUAUAAUUUUGAAGGAAGGUACAUUAAGUCACGCGCAUGGACAGUGUUGCCAUCUAUAAUGCCUUACAAGUCUGAGCUCCAUUGGGACAAUUUGAUUAGUGUGUCACAAGACUGCAAUUUCUAAUUUACAAAUUCUGUAGUUACUUUAGUGCUUUACAUAAUGCAUAGAUUUUUCAUAUAGAAUGAAGUGAAUCUAUAACCUGAUUUUGCUUUAUUAUUUAGUUCCAGUUCACUUUGUAAAUCCCAGUUCUCCAGUAUUGUAUUCUCUGUGUUAAAUCAUCAAACUAAACAGACCUUUCUCUUUGGACAGCUUCCAAUUUGUAAUAUUAUGAUUUUUUUUUCAGAAACCACUUCAACUAGCCCAGGGCUAUAUCUAUUAGUCCUCCAGUAUUUGUUGGAAUGAGAGAACACAUUUUAUGCCAGGUAAAAGGCUACUGAAGCACGGAGAUUUUUGUAAUUUCUUGGAAAGAUUAAGCCAAUGGACCCAGGAUGCAUGCUUCAAGUGUCUACAGAUUACAGGAAACAUGUUUCUUCAAGUGCCUACAUGCUACAGGAAGGCUUGGAGACAAGACGCAGCCGGCAGCCGCUUGUUGACUCGACGACGAGGCACAUUAGAUGUGGUUGGCGCAACUCAAACUUGAAGAUGAGAAGAUGAGAUGCUGCCGACAAUCUAACUCGUCAAGGUAGAAUUUCCCAAGGUGUCAUCUGGAGGCCAUGGAUAGCAUGGCGUGGAGUGCCUGCGAUUUCGAUGCGUUGGACUCCUAACGUCGUGCUGCCCACCGUGCGUGUGCUUGCCGGCGACAAACAGAACAACAACAAGAAGAUGCUUUUGCAGUGAAGAACAAAUGAAUGUAGACUAGAUAUCCACUCCAGAAUGCAUAUGUAAUACGUGCAUGCCUUAUCAUACAUUUCUCUAUGGAUGUACCAAAUUUAGUGAAUAUACUUCAAUUUCAGCAGAGUAUAUACUUCAUUCAAGUGGAUAUACUUCAAAUCAAUUUCAGCAGAGAGUAUGCAUCAUUCGUAUGAA